rnacentral:rRNA from 1 species
GAUGAACGCUAGCGGCAGGCCUAACACAUGCAAGUCGAGGGGCAGCAUAAAACAAGCUUGCUUGUUUGGUGGCGACCGGCGCACGGGUGCGUAACGCGUAUGCAACCUACCCUGUACUGGGGGAUAGCCCGGAGAAAUUCGGAUUAAGACCCCAUAGUAUAUAUCAUUCGCAUGUUUGGUAUAUUAACGGUUACGGUACAGGAUGGGCAUGCGUCCUAUUAGCUAGAUGGUGAGGUAACGGCUCACCAUGGCGACGAUAGGUAGGGGGCCUGAGAGGGUGGUCCCCCACACUGGUACUGAGACACGGACCAGACUCCUACGGGAGGCAGCAGUGAGGAAUAUUGGUCAAUGGGCGCAAGCCUGAACCAGCCAUGCCGCGUGCAGGAUGAAGGUCCUCUGGAUUGUAAACUUCUUUUCUCUGGGGCGAAAACCUCUCAUUCUUGGGAGCUUGACAGUACCAGAGGAAUAAGCACCGGCUAACUCCGUGCCAGCAGCCGCGGUAACAC